CUGGAAUACUGGGAUAAAUAAAAAAUUGUUUAAAUCCAUCUGGUCUAUAUCUAACAUCAGAAUAAUCAUCAAGUUGUGGAUAAAAUAAUAAUUUUGGUAAACGUGAAUCAAUUGAUGAUGAUGUUAAUGAUCCAUUAUCAUCUGCAUCAGGAUUAUCAUUUUCUUGAUUUGGAAUUUGUUGAUUACCAUUAUUACCAUUUGAUACACCACGUCCAGGUGUAUCUGGAUUAAAUGGUUGAUAAUUAAAACCUCUUUGUCCACCUCUACCAUAAUCAUCAAUACCAUACUGAUUUGGAUAUCUUGGCAAAUGAAGUUAUUGAAAAGGUUUUUUCACCAACUUCAGUUAUUCAAAAAAAGACAGAUAUUCUCAAGGAAAACAAUGUUGCUAUUGCAUAUUUUUGUGCUAAAAAAGUUAGCUUUACUGCUGCUGCUGGAUUUAUUCAUAUAAAUCUUCCAUUAUUAAUUUCUAUUUUUGGAGCAAUGACAACGUAUUUAGUUAUUCUACACAAAUCAUCAGCUGACAACGAAAAUUAUUAAUUUU